GAUGAACGCUGGCGGCGUGCUUAACACAUGCAAGUCGAACGGUGAACACGGAGCUUGCUCUGUGGGAUCAGUGGCGAACGGGUGAGUAACACGUGAGCAACCUGCCCCUGACUCUGGGAUAAGCGCUGGAAACGGCGUCUAAUACUGGAUAUGUGACGUGACCGCAUGGUCUGCGUUUGGAAAGAUUUUUCGGUUGGGGAUGGGCUCGCGGCCUAUCAGCUUGUUGGUGAGGUAAUGGCUCACCAAGGCGUCGACGGGUAGCCGGCCUGAGAGGGUGACCGGCCACAGUGGGACUGAGACACGACCCAGACUCCUACGGGAGGCAGCAGUGGGGAAUAUUGCACAAUGGGCGCAAGCCUGAUGCAGCAACGCCGCGUGAGGGAUGACGGCCUUCGGGUUGUAAACCUCUUUUAGCAGGAAAGAAGCGAAAGUGACGGUACCUGCAGAAAAAGCGCCGGCUAACUACGUG
rnacentral:rRNA from 1 species